AGAGUUUGAUCCUGGCUCAGAAUCAACGCUGGCGGCGUGCCUAACACAUGCAAGUCGAACGAGAAAGGGUAGCAAUACCUGAGUAAAGUGGCGCACGGGUGAGUAACACGUGACUAACCUACCCUGGAGUGGGGGAUAACUGGGAGAAAUCCUAGCUAAUACCGCAUAAUACCCACGGGUCAAAGGAGCAAUUCGCUUCAGGAGGGGGUCGCGGUCGAUUAGUUAGUUGGCGGGGUAAUGGCCCACCAAGACUGUGAUCGAUAUCCGGCCUGAGAGGGCGCACGGACACACUGGAACUGAAACACGGUCCAGACUCCUACGGGAGGCAGCAGUGGGGAAUUUUGCGCAAUGGGGGAAACCCUGACGCAGCAACGCCGCGUGGAGGAUGAAGUCCUUCGGGACGUAAACUCCUUUCGAUCGGGACGAUUAUGACGGUACCGGAAGAAGAAGCCCCGGCUAACUUCGUGCCAGCAGCCGCGGUAAUACGAGGGGGGCGAGCGUUGUUCGGAAUUAUUGGGCGUAAAGGGUGCGUAGGCGGUUUGGUAAGUCUUGUGUGAAAUCUACAGGCUCAACUUGUAGUCUGCACGAGAAACUGCCGGGCUUGAGUAUGGGAGAGGUGAGUGGAAUUCCUGGUGUAGCGGUGAAAUGCGUAGAUAUCAGGAGGAACACCUGUGGCGAAAGCGGCUCACUGGACCAUAACUGACGCUGAUGCACGAAAGCUAGGGGAGCAAACAGGAUUAGAUACCCUAGUAGUCC
rnacentral:rRNA from 1 species